AAUAAUUGUUCAGACAGAGAACCGCCCAAAUAGAAAACACAUGCUAUUUCCCCUCUGCCUGACCAAUUUGGCGUUCAGAGUACAAGUUGACGGGAGAAGGGCUGGGCUUCUCCAGGCAGGAACUGGAGUCAGAGGCUUCCCCUGCUGCUCGCUGGGAGAGAAGAACAUUAGAGAUGCCUUUCAGUGCCUCGGUUCCGGAACUGUCUCAGCAGCAGCCAGGAGGCUUGGGGCACUCUAACCGCAGAUCAGCCUCACCCCUGCAGGAAUCCAGAUGCAGGCCAAGUACAGCAGCACGAGGGACAUGCUGGAUGCUGACGGGGACACUACCGUGAGCCUGCAUUCUCGAGCCUCUACCACAACCCAGCGACCAGAGCCUGAGCGCACAGGUACUCUGUCUCCUGGAGUCCAGAUUGGCCAGAAAGCUUUUAUGAUCUUCCCACUUGAGAGGCGUACUAAGAGACUACAUUUGGUGAUGUCUGGUUCACUUCUUACAGGCCCUGGGAAUGGAGAGCAGCGGCCUCCCUCUGCAGCCUGGCGUCCAGUGGCCCUGACCCUGCUGGCUUUGUGCCUGGUGCUGCUGACGGGCCUGGCAGCCCUGGGGCUUGUGUUUUUCCAGUUCUACCAGCUCUCCCAUACUCAGCAAGACAGCAUUUCUGAAAAGGAAGAGAGACUGGGGAAUCUCUCCCGACAGCUGCAGUCCCUCCAAGCCCAGAACGGGAAGCUUGCAGACACUCUGCUGCGUGUAGCUGAAAAACUCUGUCGUGAGCUUUAUAACAAAACUGGAGAACACAGUUGCAGCCCUUGCCCAGAAAAGUGGAAGUGGCAUGGGGAUAAGUGCUACCAGUUCCAUAAAGAGAGCAAGAGCUGGCAGGGCUGUGAGUACUUCUGCAGUGCGGUAAACGCCACCAUGCUGAAGAUAAACACGCAAGAGGUGCUGGAGUUUGCCUUGCCUCAGAGCUACUCUGAGUUUUUCUACUCUUACUGGACAGGGCUGUCCCGCAACGGCAGUGCCAAGGCCUGGCUGUGGGUUGAUGGAGCCCCUUACUCCUCGGAACUGUUUGAAAUCGUAAUCGAUUUCAGCAGCCUAAGAAGCAGGGACUGUGUGACCAUCCUCCACGGAAAGGCUUUCUCCAAGGACUGCAGGGAGCUGAGGCGGUGCGCGUGUGAGACGGCGGCGGGGGCGGCGAGGCUGGGGGAGCUCCGGUAGCUUCUCUGCCCCAUCACGGGGCCGACGGACUCUCCCGCCUCAGCUGCCCCCCAGGCGCCCUUCGGAGAAACCGAAGAUCAGAACCAAAGUCGGUCACCUUAUGUGUACCUGGAAUAGUUUGGUUUCCUAUUGUCUUCCAACUGAUCCGUGUCUCUGCAACGAUCCAACAAAAUGUCCGAGCCAAGUGAAGUCAGCGCAAGGGGUAUUUAAGACAUUGGGGAGUGGGGAAAACAGAAGAAUGGCGAUCCCUCUGGUACAAGAAGGAUUUUCACGUUUCCUGUUCAGGAUCACCAGCGCUUCUGAGCUCGGCUUCAUGCCUAUGCUGACCACUCAGAGAGAAGUCCUAUUUAUGGACCAACCAUCCCCAAAGCCCAUAAAGAUGCAAUCUGCCUCCUUGACUUAGAGGUAACUUCCUAGUGUUCCUCCUCCUCAGCAUCUUCCUGUUUCCAUGUCCCCCUUAAUAUUGGGAGAAAUGAGAAACUUACGGAAGUAGAAGAAAUCGAUGAAUGUAGCAUCCUUUGCUCCAACAGCUAAGCAGUCCAUGAGAAGUCAGCCAUCACUCCCUAUAGUGUGCUACCAAAUACACAGAUCCUUCUUUUUGUUUCCUUCAGGUCAUACUUUUCUCUCCCCAAACUCUCAAGAAGACCCAUCUGGCCUGCUUCCCCCUGGGAUAAUUCCCUUUAUUAGGAUUUAACUUCUUAGAAACAUAUACCCUGCUCCCCGCCCCCCUCCCCCAUGCCCAUUUAAGACUCCAAUAAUUGUCUUCUUUCCCUAGGAAUGUCUUCCAGGAAAGAAAUAUUCUUAACUCGGUUCCAUAUCAGAAUUAAGGUCCCUGAUGCUCCCUUCAGAGAAAUAGGUCAAUAGCUUUACGUGCAUCUGUAAUAGUUUGGCUUCAGUUCCUAUUUUCUUCCAUUUGAUCCAUUAGGGGAGCACCAACAAACAAACAAGCAUAAACAACCUUCUUUGGAGACCUGUGUUCAUAAGCAGAUUGUAGAAGGACACCCACAUUGGAGGCUGUAGAUAUUACAAAAUAUUUUUUAUGGUUCAGCAGAAAACUGGAGAAAAUCCUUUUUGUUGAAAUUCAAACCAUUUAAACUCCAGACCAAGGGUAAACAAAGGAAAAGAAACCCCAAAACAUGCCCUUCCCAUUCUUGAAGGACCUUAUCAUUCAGACUGAAGAAAUUGAGGCCCAGAGAGAUGCAUUUAAAGGUUCUGCAGUGUUAACUUUGAGUCCGGGCCGUGAGCCCUUUGACUGGUGAGCGGUGGGACGGGCAGCUGUCCUUGACGGAGACACCCUGGUGCUGCCAGCCUGACUAUUCCUU